AAAGUGUCCUUUAAUUAUGUGACUAACAGCUAACCUUCCAGAAGGAAACCUACCGAGAAAUGUGAAAAGAUACUUUUUUUUUUCCUCUGGAAACCCACACGUCAUUUGGAACCUAACAGAAGAUUCACAAUGGAUGCUUGGUAACUACUCUCAGGACUCUUUUAAGGCUCUAUGGACCACAGAUGGAAAAACAAUGUUCUAUGCUCUUGAUUUUGGGAAAGAAGAAAACAAGGAAGGAGAUGAAUAUCAGAAAAACCAUCAGAAAUGAGAUCAAGCUUUUCCCUGAUGAACGACUCUGGAAAAAAAAAUAAAGGAAAAAUAAUGAGAGAAGUAGCAAAACACAAGACUGAAGGCACCACCUGACUAGAAUGCCAAAGCUCGUUUUCACUGACUAAAGGAAAUUUACCUUGGAAAAUGAUUAAUUGUCAUGUAAACAAUUUUCUAUGGUGUUUUGAAGUAUUAUUGAUAUUACACCACCAA